CUCGUGGCCGAGAUCAAAGCAUUGCUGGUGUCGGGAAUGGUGAGGGGCAACCCGGAGGAAACAUUGCUGCUUCCUUAGAUGGAUCAUUGUGUAUCUUUUCUCCCGGUUGUCUUCACUAUUUUUGACACGGUUAGUGAUGAAGGUGGCUAAGAG